rnacentral:rRNA from 1 species
AUUAGCUUGUUGGUAGGGUAACGGCCUACCAAGGCUACGAUCAGUAGGGGUUCUGAGAGGAUUAACCCCCACACUGGUACUGAGACACGGACCAGACUCCUACGGGAGGCAGCAGUGAGGAAUAUUGGUCAAUGGGCGGAAGCCUGAACCAGCCAUCCCGCGUGAAGGAAGACAGCCUUACGGGUUGUAAACUUCUUUUCUGUCAGAAGAAUAAGCUUGUCGAGACGAGUGAUGCCGGUAUGACAGGAAUAAGCAUCGGCUAACUCCGUGCCAGCAGCCGCGGUAAUACGGAGGAUGCAAGCGUUAUCCGGAUUUAUUGGGUUUAAAGGGUGCGCAGGUUGUUUGAUAAGUCAGUGGUGAAAGUCUGUCGCUUAACGGUAGGAUUGCCAUUGAUACUGUUGGACUUGAAUAUGGAUGAGGUAGGCGGAAUGUGUAGUGUAGCGGUGAAAUGCAUAGAUAUUACACAGAACACCGAUUGCGAAGGCAGCUUACUAAUCCAUCAUUGACGCUGAGGCACGAAAGCGUGGGGAUCAAACAGGAUUAGAUACCCUGGUAGUCCACGCCGUAAACGAUGAUCACUCGCUGUUUGCGAUAUACAGUAAGCGGCUAAGCGAAAGCGUUAA